rnacentral:rRNA from 1 species
CCUACGGGUGGCUGCAGUGGGGAAUAUUGGACAAUGGGGGGAACCCUGAUCCAGCCAUGCCGCGUGUGUGAAGAAGGCCCUCGGGUUGUAAAGCACUUUCAGUGAGGAAGAACGCCUGGUGGUUAAUACCCAUCAGGAAAGACAUCACUCACAGAAGAAGCACCGGCUAACUCCGUGCCAGCAGCCGCGGUAAUACGGAGGGUGCGAGCGUUAAUCGGAAUUACUGGGCGUAAAGCGCGCGUAGGUGGCUUGAUAAGCCGGUUGUGAAAGCCCCGGGCUCAACCUGGGAACGGCAUCCGGAACUGUCAAGCUAGAGUGCAGGAGAGGAAGGUAGAAUUCCCGGUGUAGCGGUGAAAUGCGUAGAGAUCGGGAGGAAUACCAGUGGCGAAGGCGGCCUUCUGGACUGACACUGACACUGAGGUGCGAAAGCGUGGGGAGCAAACAGGAUUAGAUACCCGUGUAGUC